rnacentral:lncRNA from 1 species
UGGAUAUUGAUUAUAAAAUUAUAACCAUGCAUAAACAAAUUAUGUUGGUUCAAAAUAUGAAAACUAUAUAAAUAUGGUUUAACAACAUGGUCCUAAAUAUUGAACUGUUAAUUAGCUUUAUAUAAUACUGCUUUAACUUAUGGUCUUACUCUGAUGCACCUACAAACAAUCGACACAAUGUUCAUCAAUUUUACUGUUCUGUAUAUCUAUGUUCUCUGUAUAUCUAUCACAAAUAUUCUGCCAUCCCUGAUGGUUCAUGUGACUAGUUAACAUAAAAUAACAUGAUGACUUAUAAAUAAAAAAAAAAGAAAUAUAUCUGGCAUAAAGGAGGAAGCAAACAAAAAUAUGCAUUCAAUCUCUGAAAACCAUCUAAAUUUUGAUAUGUUAUAACCUUCUACAUUCUAAUUUUUCAAUUUUUUCAAGUCUCUAAAUUAUUAUCAAAUUUCUAAAAGUGGGUUAUCUUUAACAGAAAAAUACAAACAUACCUCCUGAACAAAGGCUGUAUUUGAUAAAAAAGAUAAUAUUUUAGCUGUUGUCAGCAGCUUUUUUAUUCAGCUAAUGCAUGUACAUAUCAAGUUGUUUGUUUGUCUACAUUCUAAUGGUAAGAUGUAUUGGUGAAAAGGUAGAACAACACAACUGUCUACAUUCUAAUGGUAAGAUGUUUUGGUAAAAAGGUAGAACACAACUGUCUACAUUCUAAUGGUAAGAUGUUUUGGUGAAAAGGUAGAACAACACAACUGUAAAAUAGUUUGAUAUUCUAUAAUUAAGGAGGCUUGCGGGUAUAAGAUUUUCAGAAAAAAAUUAAACAUUUAUUUUU